GGAAUUGGAGCACUCCACCAAGCAGUAUGUUUCUUCAUAUAUACUUUUGAAGGCCUAUCUACCAAUUUUGCAUGGCUGCUCCGGUGGUCCCUAUCUAAUUCCCUCUGUUAACUUUUGUGUUUGCAGGGGCUGCCGGUUAGUUCGCCAAUCAUUUUUUCACAACAAUCCUUCAAUUUUUUUGGACUUGGGUGCAGGGAUUAGGCUGUAGAGGAUUUCACUCUACCAUUCGAGCCGCAAAGAGUGGGUUUUGUCUUAAUAUUGAUGUUUCCACGACAAUGAUUUUCAAGCCUGACCCUGUUGUUGAUUUUUUACUUGCCAAUCAGAAGGUUGAUCACCCGAAUGAAAUUUAUCGUGGGAAAGGUCAAGCGUGCAGUCAAGAAUUUAAGGAUAAAAACAAGCCCGGCAAACACAGAGCACACGACCAUUGGCUUGAGUCAUGAACAUAUUCUAAUCUGCUAUGUGCGUCUGGAUGCUUCUCAGGUGGCAAACUAAAUCAAGUUUGAUGAGAUGUCUGAGCCAGGGCAGUACCCAAACCUCCGCUGGCAGCGCCCUGGUGCAGGAUCUGCCUCACGUGCACGAGAAGGUGCAGGAAAUCAAAUGACUGCCCGAUGGCUAUCCUCGAGAGGAAGAAGUCACUCAACUACCUUGUGCUCGAUGAGGUAACCGAUGAUGACAACUCUGUUGUCACCCUGACACCAUGUAGAGGCUCCAGCUUCUCCACUGUCCUGCUCA